AGCAGCCGCGGUAAUUCCAGCUCCAAUAGCGUAUAUUAAAGUCGUUGCAGUUAAAAAGCUCGUAGUUGAAUUUCGGAAUCAAUAUGCCGGUCAUGCCUUGGUAUGCACUGGUAUCUUUGAUUUCUCCCUUCUGACGAACUUUGAUGUCAUUAAUUUGGUGUCAUAGGGAAUCAGGACUGUUACUUUGAAAAAAUUAGAGUGUUUAAAGCAAGCUCACGCUUGAAUACAUUAGCAUGGAAUAAUGAAAUAGGACGUUUGAUUCUAUUUUGUUGGUUUCUAGGAUCGACGUAAUGAUUAAUAGGGAUAGUUGGGGGCAUUAGUAUUCAAUUGUCAGAGGUGAAAUUCUUGGAUUUAUUGAAGACUAACUACUGCGAAAGCAUUUGCCAAGGAUGUUUUCAUUAAUCAAGAACGAAAGUUAGGGGAUCGAAGAAGAUCAGAUACCGUCGUAGU
rnacentral:rRNA from 1 species